AUGUUUCAUCUUUAUUUCCUAAACUAUCUUCACUUUGUUUGCAAAAAUGGUUGCGGCACACUCGCUACAACACACACCCACUUGGGCCGUGGCUACGGUUUGCUUCGUCUUCAUUUGCCUUGGACUUCUCAUCGAACAUCUAUUCGAUAUAGUGUCACAUUGGCUUAAGGAACAUAGGAAGACAUCCAUGUAUGAAGCAAUAGAGAAGUUGAAAACAGCGUUGAUGCUUCUCGGAUUAAUGUCGCUAAUACUAGUGAGUACUCAAAGGACAAUCGCGAAAAUCUGCAUACCGAACAAAGUUGCAAAUUCCAUGCUUCCUUGUCACAAAAUCUCUGAGGAAACAAUGCAAACAACCGAAGCAUAUGAACUACAUUACGCCACCUCUGCCCGGUUUGAACCGCUAGCCUUUGAAGACAACAUGGUCCGACCAAAACACAGACGGCUAGAUUUGGUUAACGUUUCUGCCACUUCUAGUUAUUCAACUGGUCAUUGUGCUUCAAAGGGAAUGACGUCUUUCAUAUCCGAGGAGGGAAUAAACCAACUAAACACUUUCAUAUGUGUUCUGGCUAUCAUGCAAAUAGUAUAUAGUGUUGUUACCAUGGCUUUGGGGAGAGCCAAGAUGAGGAGUUGGAAAGCUUGGGAGCAAGAAACUCAAACACUAGAAUACAUGGUGGCCAAUGAUCCUAGCCGAUUUAGAUUUACAAGACAAACUACAUUUGGAAGAAGGCAUAUGACUGAUUCAGUCAACACAACACUUUUAUUAUGGACUAAAUGUUUCUUUAGACAAUUCUUUCACUCGGUAGCUAAAGUUGAUUACUUCACCUUGCGUCAUGGAUUUAUAUCGGCUCAUCUAUCAACAAACAAUUAUUUCAAUUUCCGCAAGUACAUACAACGUUCAUUGGAAGAUGACUUCAAAGUUGUAGUCGGCAUAAGUCCCCUCAUGUGGUUUCUACUUGUUAUCUUGAUGCUUACCGAUAUCCAUGGUUGGCAUGUGUAUCUCUGGGUAGCACUACUUCCGCUUGUUAUUGUGUUGGUCCUUGGAACCAAACUACAAGUGAUUGUCGCUAGAAUGGCUCUACGUCUCAAGGAACAAAACAAGGUAACAAUAGGAGCGCCCUUGGUUAAGCCUAAUGACGAUCUUUUCUGGUUUAGCAAGCCUCAGUUCGUCCUAACUCUAUUGCACUACACACUCUUUGUGAACGCAUUUGAGUUUGCAUUUUUCGUCUGGGUUUCGGUAUGUUCAUUAACUACCAGAAAAAUGACUUUAACCGAUGAAAAUUCACUCGUGGAACCCGAACUUGAAUCCGAAAUGUUUGGGAUGGGUAUUUGGGUAUGAGCCGGCUGCAAUAUGGGAUAAAUUCAUGCUUCCAUGAAACUAGAAGUAUUGCUGUAUCAAGGGUUGUGCUAGCGGUGUUUGUUCAAGUCAUGUGUAGCUACAUUACUCUUCCACUCUAUGCUCUUGUGACUCAGAUGGGUUCAACAUAUAAAAGUGCGGUGUUAGAAGAUCAAACGAUACAUGUGAUAAAGCAAUGGCACAAGGAGGUGAAACAAAAGCGAAGAAAACUAACCCAGACACCUGGCGAUAGCCCCAUGUCUAACAUUGUUACUCAACUCAACGCCAUGGAUCAACUUAGUCGAACACCAAGUCCUUCUGAGUUCACUUCUCCUGUCGCUAAGGAAACUGAUGAAAUCAUUGAAGAAAUCCAAGAAGACGAAUAAUUAGUAAUUAAAGCUUACUAAAAACUUAUUUAGCAUUAUUUGUUCAUUAAUUUUAUGGAUUGUAAUAUAUCUAUAUUGGAAAACCUAAAAUCACAAAUACCUUUAUUGUUAAUACAAUAUAAGUAAUAGGAAAUGGAAAAUAUUAAAUUC